ACGACAACGACGACGAAAGCGACAAGAACAACGACAACUACGACAACAACCACAACAAGAACAAUAAUGGCAACAGCGACAACAACGAUAGAAACAACAAAAACAACUACAACAACAACCACAACGACGACAGAGACUAAAGCAACAACAAUGACAACAAAAACAACAACAACAUCGAAGACGAUGACGACGACCACGACAACAACAAGAACGAAAAAAACAACAAGAAUAAGAAGAAGAAGAAGAAGAAGAAGAAGAAGAAGAAGAAGAAGAAGAAGN
rnacentral:lncRNA from 1 species